UGGGGAAUAUUGGACAAUGGGGGCAACCCUGAUCCAGCCAUGCCGCGUGAGUGAUGAAGGCCUUCGGGUUGUAAAGCUCUUUUGGCGGGGACGAUGAUGACGGUACCCGCAGAAUAAGCCCCGGCUAACUUCGUGCCAGCAGCCGCGGUAAGACGAAGGGGGCUAGCGUUGUUCGGAAUCACUGGGCGUAAAGCGCACGUAGGUGGAUUGUUUAGUCAGGGGUGAAAUCCCGGAGCUCAACUUCGGAACUGCCUUUGAUACUGCUUUGCUAGAGUGCAGAAGGGGCAAUCGGAAUUCUUGGUGUAGCGGUGAAAUGCGUAGAUAUCAAGAGGAACACCUGAGGUGAAGACGGGUUGCUGGGCUGACACUGACGCUGAGGCGCGAAAGCCAGGGGAGCAAACGGGAUUAGAUACCCCGGUAGUCCCUGAGCGGGCUGGCAAGGCGCAU
rnacentral:rRNA from 1 species